CUAGAAGGUUACUCUAGCUCAGUGCCUAUCAGGUUGUUGUUGCGAAGGAUUUUACAGCUGUACUUAAAGAAGAUAAUCUAUGAUCAGUCCAUCUCAACAGUAUGAUCACAGAGGAGUGUGAUCAGACAUGCUAUUUGAAUGGUGUAUCGGGGCUUCUAAACCUCAUGAAACAAGACAGAGGUUAACCCAGGCAACCAUCAGGCUGUAUCUGAAAAUUGGCCUGCCUUCAGAAGAUAAAAGAGCAGUGGGAGGGUCUCUUCAGGCACACACAACUAGUGAGUGAAUUGCUAAAAAUCCUUGAUCUUCAAGACAUGGAAAGAAGGAGUUUUCUGAACUUGGACGAAAUUGGUAAACUAGAAGCUGACAGCAAAAUGGUGGUGCCCCCCCCCACAUAGUGGGGUUGGGGACUGCAUUACAUGGACAUCCUCCAGUUGGAGGAGAGCUUUGUUCCUAGGAGAUUUCUUGGGUCAGGUGAAGACAGCGGGAUUCUUGCAAACCAGAUAGGAGCCCGUCCCAAGAAAGGAUUCCUGGUGGGCCACUUCCUGUUCACAUUGCUGUCUUUCUCACGAGAAUCCAUCCUUAUUCCCUGUGCCUCCUUGUAGGCUCUGACAGAUGGUGGCAUCCUACUGGACUCUGACUGAGCAAAGCGAGAAAGAGCCAAUGACAUGAUACAGCAGCAGUGGUGCUGGAGUGAGGCAAAAUCCACGGCCAACACUCACAUUACAAGAACUGCAGCAAGAAUGAAAAAUACUUAUGUGACUGCUUGUGGCAACUCCAAAUAAAAAUAACACAGACACUUCAAGA